GACGAACGCUGGCGGCGUGCCUAACACAUGCAAGUCGAGCGAACGGACCAUAAUCUUGUUUCUCUGAUGUUAGCGGCGGACGGGUGAGUAACACGUGGAUAACCUACUUAUCAUACUGGGAUAAUUUCGGGAAUCGGGAGCUAAUACCGGAUAAUCUUUUGAACCGUCUGGUUCAAAAGUAAAAUACGGUCUUGCGGUAACUUCUCGCUGGUUCCCCGCUGCAUUAGCUAGUUGGUAGGGUAACUGCUUACCAAGGCUACGAUGCAUAGCCGACCUGACAGGGUGAUAGGCCGCACUGGAGCUGGGACGAGGUCCCGACUCCUGCGAUAAGCAGCAGAAUGGAAGCGGCCGCAACAGGCGGAAGCCUGGCAGAACAACGCCGCGUGAGAGCUGAAAGUGUUCGGAUCGUGAAACUCUGUUACUGGGUAAGAACAGAUUUGUAAGUAGCCGAGCACAUCUUGACGGUACCUAGUCAGAAAGCCACGGCUAACUACGUG
rnacentral:rRNA from 1 species